GAUGAACGCUGGCGGCGUGCUUAACACAUGCAAGUCGAACGAAGCACUUUAUUUGAUUUCCUUCGGGACUUAUUAUUUUGUGACUGAGUGGCGGACGGGUGAGUAACGCGUGGGUAACCUGCCUUGUACAGGGGGAUAACAGUUGGAAACGGCUGCUAAUACCGCAUAAGCGCACAGCAUCGCAUGAUGCAGUGUGAAAAACUCCGGUGGUAUAAGAUGGACCCGCGUUGGAUUAGCUAGUUGGUGAGGUAACGGCCCACCAAGGCGACGAUCCAUAGCCGACCUGAGAGGGUGACCGGCCACAUUGGGACUGAGACACGGCCCAAACUCCUACGGGAGGCAGCAGUGGGGAAUAUUGCACAAUGGGCGAAAGCCUGAUGCAGCUACGCCGCGUGAGCGAAGAAGUAUUUCGGUAUGUAAAGCUCUAUCAGCAGGGAAGAUAAUGACGGUACCUGACUAAGAAGCACCGGCUAAAUACGUG
rnacentral:rRNA from 1 species